GCCUUCGAGGUGUAGUGGUCAGCACGCUGGGUGCGUAUUCCAGAGGUCUGUGGUUCGAGUCCCGGCGAAGGCG
rnacentral:tRNA from 1 species